UACGUAGGGUGCGAGCGUUGUCCGGAAUUAUUGGGCGUAAAGAGCUUGUAGGCGGUUUGUCGCGUCUGCCGUGAAAAUUCGAGGCUCAACCUCGAACUUGCGGUGGGUACGGGCAGACUAGAGUGUGGUAGGGGGAGACUGGAAUUCCUGGUGUAGCGGUGAAAUGCGCAGAUAUCAGGAGGAACACCGAUGGCGAAGGCAGGUCUCUGGGCCACUACUGACGCUGAGAAGCGAAAGCAUGGGGAGCGAACAGG
rnacentral:rRNA from 1 species